rnacentral:rRNA from 1 species
UUCGACUAAGCCAUGCGAGUCGAAUGUAGCAAUACAUGGCGUACUGCUCAGUAACACGUGGACAACCUGCCCUUAGGACGGGGAUAAACCCGGGAAACUGGGUAUAAUCCCCGAUAGAUCUCGGUCGCUGGAAUGCCCCGAGAUCGAAAGCUCCGGCGCCAGAGGAUGGGUCUGCGGCCUAUCAGGUAGUAGUGGGUGUAGCGUACCUACUAGCCUACGACGGGUACGGGUUGUGAGAGCAAGAGCCCGGAGAUGGAUUCUGAGACACGAAUCCAGGCCCUACGGGGUGCAGCAGGCGCGAAAACUUUACAAUGCCGGCAACGGCGAUAAGGGGACCUCGAGUGCCAGGUUACAAAUCUGGCUGUCGUGAUGCCUAAAAAGCAUUGCAUAGCAAGGGCCGGGCAAGACCGGUGCCAGCCGCCGCGGUAACACCGGCGGCUCGAGUGGUAACCGUUAUUAUUGGGUCUAAAGGGUCUGUAGCCGGCCGGAUAAGUCUCUUGAGAAAUCCAGCAGCUCAACUGUUGGGCUUUCAGGAGAUAC